rnacentral:misc_RNA from 1 species
UCCGGUUUGUCACCGGCAGUCUCCCUAGAGUGCCCUUGCGUAGCAACUAGGGACAAGGGUUGCGCUCGUUGCGGGACUUAACCCAACAUCUCACGACACGAGCUGACGACAGCCAUGCAGCACCUGUGCAUGGAUCCCGAAGGAGGCUUCUGGUUUCUCAGAAGUUUCCCAUGCAUGUCAAGCCUAGGUAAGGUUCUUCGCGUUGCGUCGAAUUAAACCACAUGCUCCACCGCUUGUGCGGGCCCCCGUCAAUUCCUUUGAGUUUCAUUCUUGCGAACGUACUCCCCAGGUGGGAUACUUAUCACUUUCGCUUAGCCACUGAGAUCGCUCCCAACAGCUAGCACCCAUAGUUUACGGCGUGGACUAC